rnacentral:rRNA from 1 species
AGUGAACGCUGGCGGUAGGCCUAACACAUGCAAGUCGAACGGCAGCACAGUAAGAGCUUGCUCUUACGGGUGGCGAGUGGCGGACGGGUGAGGAAUACAUCGGAAUCUACUUUUUCGUGGGGGAUAACGUAGGGAAACUUACGCUAAUACCGCAUACGACCUACGGGUGAAAGCAGGGGAUCUUCGGACCUUGCGCGAUUGAAUGAGCCGAUGUCGGAUUAGCUAGUUGGCGGGGUAAAGGCCCACCAAGGCGACGAUCCGUAGCUGGUCUGAGAGGAUGAUCAGCCACACUGGAACUGAGACACGGUCCAUGCUCCUACGGGAGGCAGCAGUGGGGAAUAUUGGACAAUGGGCGCAAGCCUGAUCCAGCCAUACCGCGUGAGUGAAGAAGGCCUUCGGGUUGUAAAGCCCUUUUGUUGGGAAAGAAAAGCAGCAGGUUAAUACCCCGCUGUUCUGACGGUACCCAAAGAAUAAGCACCGGCUAACUUCGUG